rnacentral:snoRNA from 1 species
AAUCCAUGCAUCAGACACUUUUGAAUUAAGUCUUUAAGUCGUUCCCAAGCAUCAUAUAAUGUUUCAUCCUCUAAUUACCGAAAAGACAUGAUGUCAUUUCUAAGCUU